rnacentral:rRNA from 1 species
GACGAACGCUGGCGGCGUGCUUAACACAUGCAGGUCGAACGGAAAGGCCCUGCUUUUGUGGGGUGCUCGAGUGGCGAACGGGUGAGUAACACGUGAGUAACCUGCCCUUGACUUUGGGAUAACUUCAGGAAACUGGGGCUAAUACCGGAUAGGAGCUCCUGCUGCAUGGUGGGGGUUGGAAAGUUUCGGCGGUUGGGGAUGGACUCGCGGCUUAUCAGCUUGUUGGUGGGGUAGUGGCUUACCAAGGCUUUGACGGGUAGCCGGCCUGAGAGGGUGACCGGCCACAUUGGGACUGAGAUACGGCCCAGACUCCUACGGGAGGCAGCAGUGGGGAAUAUUGCACAAAGGGCGGAAGCCUGAUGCAGCAACGCCGCGUGCGGGAUGACGGCCUUCGGGUUGUAAACCGCUUUCGCCUGUGACGAAGCGUGAGUGACGGUAAUGGGUAAAGAAGCACCGGCUAACUACGUG